AUUGAACGCUGGCGGCAUGCUUUACACAUGCAAGUCGAACGGUAACAGGUCUUCGGAUGCUGACGAGUGGCGAACGGGUGAGUAAUACAUCGGAACGUGCCUAGUAGUGGGGGAUAACUACUCGAAAGAGUAGCUAAUACCGCAUGAGAUCUACGGAUGAAAGCAGGGGACCUUCGGGCCUUGUGCUACUAGAGCGGCUGAUGGCAGAUUAGGUAGUUGGUGGGGUAAAGGCUUACCAAGCCUGCGAUCUGUAGCUGGUCUGAGAGGACGACCAGCCACACUGGGACUGAGACACGGCCCAGACUCCUACGGGAGGCAGCAGUGGGGAAUUUUGGACAAUGGGCGAAAGCCUGAUCCAGCAAUGCCGCGUGCAGGAUGAAGGCCCUCGGGUUGUAAACUGCUUUUGUACGGAACGAAAAGCCUGGGGCUAAUAUCCUCGGGU
rnacentral:rRNA from 1 species